rnacentral:rRNA from 1 species
CCUACGGGUGGCUGCAGUGAGGAAUUUUGGUCAAUGGGCGCAAGCCUGAUCCAGCUAUUCCGCGUGAGGGAUGACGGCCCUCGGGUUGGUAAACACUUUAUUAGAGUACGUAAAGGAGCUAUCGAAUAAAUAUCUCUGCUUCCGUUACUCUAAGAAUAAGCACCGGCUAACUACGUGCCAGAAGCAGCGGUAAUACGUAGGGUGCGAGCGUUAAUCGGAAUUAUUUGUCGUAAAGGGUGUGCAGGCGGCUGAGUAAGACAGCUGUGAAAUCCCUGGGCUUAACCGGGGAACCGCAUAUGUGACUGGCUGUCUAGAGUGCGUCAGAGGUAGGUGGAAUUCCAGGUGUAGCAGUGAAAUGCGUAGAUAUGUGGAAGAACACCGAUGGCGAAGGCAGCCUACUGGGACGCAACUGACGCUGAUACACGAAAGCGUGGGGAGCAAACAGGAUUAGAUACCCCGGUAGUC